rnacentral:rRNA from 1 species
GACGAACGCUGGCGGCGUGCUUAACACAUGCAAGUCGAACGGAAAGGCCCUGCUUUUGUGGGGUGCUCGAGUGGCGAACGGGUGAGUAACACGUGAGUAACCUGCCCUUGACUUUGGGAUAACUUCAGGAAACUGGGGCUAAUACCGGAUAGGAGCUCCUGCUGCAUGGUGGGGGUUGGAAAGUUUCGGCGGUUGGGGAUGGACUCGCGGCUUAUCAGCUUGUUGGUGGGGUAGUGGCUUACCAAGGCUUUGACGGGUAGCCGGCCUGAGAGGGUGACCGGCCACAGUGGGGAGUAGGGACGGGCGAGAGGAGUCCGGAAGGCAGCAGGGGGAGAGAUGGCAGAGGGGGCGGGGGUCAGAAGCAGCAGCGCCGGGUGAGGGAGGUCGGGCGACGGGGGGGGAACAGAUGGCGCCGGUAACGAAGCGUGAGGGACGGGAAGGUAUAAAGAAGCAAGGGCUCGCCACAUC